rnacentral:rRNA from 1 species
UGGGGAAUUUUGGACAAUGGGGGAAACCCUGAUCCAGCCAUCCCGCGUGUGCGAUGAAGGCCUUCGGGUUGUAAAGCACUUUUGGCAGGAAAGAAACGUCAUGGGUUAAUACCCCGUGAAACUGACGGUACCUGCAGAAUAAGCACCGGCUAACUACGUGCCAGCAGCCGCGGUAGUACGUAGGGUGCAAGCGUUAAUCGGAAUUACUGGGCGUAAAGCGUGCGCAGGCGGUUCGGAAAGAAAGAUGUGAAAUCCCAGAGCUCAACUUUGGAACUGCAUUUUUAACUACCGGGCUAGAGCGUGUCAGAGGGAGGUGGAAUUCCGCGUGUAGCAGUGAAAUGCGUAGAUAUGCGGGGGAACACCGAUGGCGAAGGCAGCCUCCUGGGAUAACACUGACGCUCAUGCACGAAAGCGUGGGGAGCAAACAGG